rnacentral:lncRNA from 1 species
GAUUGCCCGGGGGACCGGGUUCGAGUGGGCCUGACUUUCUCGGGCACGAUCUUAAUGUGGCCGAGAAGGUGAGCAUCAUGCUGAAUCCUUACCAGCAAGAUGCGUAUCUGUCGGCACGCCCUUCUCAAGUUCAUGACGCCUUCAUGGAGUUGUGUUCUAGGACCUUGGUACUCGGCAAACGGAUGGCAUCCGAUUUGAUGAAGAGGGACAAAAAUGCAGCCGAGGUGGAGGGACUCCGGGCUAAGCUGAACGAGUCGUCGGCCAGCUUGAAAACAAAGCUGACCGAGAAUGCUACACUUGUGGCUCAGAAGGAAGCCCUAGAGGCCGAGGUGGCGAGGUGGAAAGAGAAGUCCGAACUGGCCGAG